GUUUCGCAGAGUGUUCUGUGGCAGUUAUUCGGAGGCGGCGCCUGGCGGAGCGGCGGCUCCUGCCGGAGCGGCGCUUGUUCCACUUUCGAUUUUCUCAUCGGUGGGACCCAGGAACUGAACAAUGAGCUCAGGAAGGAACAAGAAAGGCAGCAAUUAUAGAAAAAGAAGCUGGUAUUGGUAUUACUGAAAGUGCUCCAAGAGAGCAAACGAAUAGUGGCAAUAUGACUUCUGUUGUUGGAGCACACAAAGAUGAUAGAAGUGAUACGAUGCCAGCUUUAGGAUUGGGUGAAAAGGAAGAUACAGAAUCACCUUGGGAUUCUGAGG